CAGCAGUCCUUGUUGCAUGUGGUAGCCAGAUAAGCAAAGUUUUCACUGAAAUCUGUGUCGCCUCCUCGGUGUCCCUUUCAGUACGAGACAGAGUGGAUGUCUCUCCUGUAUACACAAAGAAUAUCAAGUAGUACCACACAAGGCUUUUUCCCAAAAGCAUCACAUUGCUUUUCUUGACCUUCAUGACAACCCCGAGUCUGGAAUCUGUGAUCCUGCUACCUGCAAGAAAUCCACAGAAUUGCAGAGAGUACCUGCUUCCUCUUCCAUACGGUAUAAUGCUCUAGAACUGCAUGAUCAAGGAGCAUACAAAAUCUUCCCGUGAAAGGUGACUUCUGGACCCUCAGAAGGCCA